AGUGAACGCUGGCGGUAGGCCUAACACAUGCAAGUCGAACGGCAGCGCAGUAAGAGCUUGCUCUUACGGGUGGCGAGUGGCGGACGGGUGAGGAAUACAUCGGAAUCUACUUUUUCGUGGGGGAUAACGUAGGGAAACUUACGCUAAUACCGCAUACGACCUACGGGUGAAAGCAGGGGAUCUUCGGACCUUGCGCGAUUGAAUGAGCCGAUGUCGGAUUAGCUAGUUGGCGGGGUAAAGGCCCACCAAGGCGACGAUCCGUAGCUGGUCUGAGAGGAUGAUCAGCCAAACUGGAACUGAGACACGGUCCAGACCCCUACGGGAGGCAGCAGUGGGGAAUAUUGGACAAGGGGCGCAAGCCUGAUCCAGCCAUACCGGGUGGGUGAAGAAGGCCUUGGGGUUGUAAAGCCCUUUUGUUGGGAAAAAAAAGCAGCAGGUUAAUACCCCGCUGUUCUGACGGUACCAAAAGAAGAAGCACCGGCUAACUUCGU
rnacentral:rRNA from 1 species